rnacentral:rRNA from 1 species
GUGAUCACAGAACUUUCCAGAGAUGGAUUGGUGCUUCGGGAACUGUGAGACAGGUGCUGCAUGGCUGUCGUCAGCUCGUGUUGUGAAAUGUUGGGUUAAGUCCCGCAACGAGCGCAACCCUUAUCCUUUGUUGCCAGCGGUCCGGCCGGGAACUCAAAGGAGACUGCCAGUGAUAAACUGGAGGAAGGUGGGGAUGACGUCAGUCAUCAUGGCCCUUACGACCAGGGCUACACACGUGCUACAAUGGCGCAUACAAAGAGAAGCGACCUCGCGAGAGCAAGCGGACCUCAUAAAGUGCGUCGUAGUCCGGAUUGGAGUCUGCAACUCGACUCCAUGAAGUCGGAAUCGCUAGUAAUCGUGGAUCAGAAUGCCACGGUGAAUACGUUUCCGGGCCUUGUACA